AUUGAACGCUGGCGGCAUGCUUUACACAUGCAAGUCGGACGGAGUGGCGAACGGGUGAGUAAUGUAUCGGAACGUGCCCAGUAGCGGGGGAUAACUACGCGAAAGCGUAGCUAAUACCGCAUACUAUUGGAGCGGCCGAUAUCGGAUUAGCUAGUUGGUGGGGUAACGGCUCACCAAGGCUACGAUCCGUAGAUGGUUUGAGAGGACGACCAGCCCAACUGGGACUGAGAAACGGCCCAGACUCCUACGGGAGGCAGCAGUGGGGAAUUUUGGACAAUGGGGGAAACCCUGAUCCAGCCAUCCCGCGUGUGCGAUGAAGGCCUUCGGGUGGUAAAGCACUUUUGGCAGGAAAGCGGUACCUGCAGAAUAAGCACCGGCUAACUACGUGCCAGCCGCCGCGGUAAUAC
rnacentral:rRNA from 1 species